rnacentral:rRNA from 1 species
UUUUUAAGAUGCACUACUCUAAGGUGCCAAAUCCUGACUGAUCUUGAAAGCUAAACAGAGUCAGCCCUGGUUUGUACUUGGUUGGGAGACCACCAACGAAUACUAGGUGCUGUAGGUU